AGAAAUUUAAAGAACAGAAACAUUGUUUGAAGAGACCACGCAGGUAGUGCAGGGUGGUUGUCUCUGCAGUGCUGAACCCAUGGUUAAUACUGAAUGAAUGAGUGAAAGGAUGAAGGAAUGAAGAAUGGGAAGGAAAGCUCAGCUAAUCAUCCGGUUUGCAGAUAAAUAAGAAACGAAGCGCCAGACACUUCAACAAGAAAAGAUUUCUUACUUUUCCCCUGAAUUUAUAGUUUUGAAAACGUCAACGUGCACAGAAAAACUCAAAG